rnacentral:rRNA from 1 species
ACUCCUACGGGAGGCAGCAGUGGGGAAUAUUGCACAAUGGGCGCAAGCCUGAUGCAGCCAUGCCGCGUGUGUGAAGAAGGCCUUCGGGUUGUAAAGCACUUUCAGUCGUGAGGAAGGUAGUGUAGUUAAUAGCUGCAUUAUUUGUACGUUAGCGACAGAAGAAGCACCGGCUAACUCCGUGCCAGCAGCCGCGGUAAUACGGAGGGUGCGAGCGUUAAUCGGAAUUACUGGGCGUAAAGCGCAUGCAGGUGGUUGUUAAGUCAGAUGUGAAAGCCCGGGGCUCAACCUCGGAAUAGCAUUUGAAACUGGCAGACUAGAGUACUGUAGAGGGGGUAGGAAUUUCAGGUGUAGCGGUGAAAUGCGUAGAGAUCUGAAGGAAUACCGGU